rnacentral:rRNA from 1 species
UACGUAGGGGGCGAGCGUUGUCCGGAUUUAUUGGGCGUAAAGAGCGUGUAGGCGGCCAGGUAGGUCCGUUGUGAAAACUCGAGGCUCAACCUCGAGACGUCGGCGGAAACCCUCUGGCUAGAGUCCGGAAGAGGAGAGUGGAAUUCCUGGUGUAGCGGUGAAAUGCGCAGAUAUCAGGAGGAACACCAAUGGCGAAGGCAGCUCGCUGGGACGGUACUGACACUGAGACGCGAAAGCGUGGGGAGCAAACAGG